rnacentral:lncRNA from 1 species
AUUUAUUUUAGGAUUUGGGAUUUAUUUUGGGAUUUAUUUUAGGAUUUGGGAUUUAUUUUGGGAUCUGGGAUUUAUUUUGGGAUCUGGGGUUUUUCCCGGCAGGUGAUCCAGGCCCGGCAGAAGGAGGCUCCGUUCCUGCUGCCCGAGGAGGCCUUCGGGGACAACCCCCGGGUGGGCGGGGCCAGCCUGGAGCAGCUGGGGCCGGAAUUUUUCUUCGGCCAAAACAAAAUCAGCGAAAUCCUGGGGAGCUGCGGAUACAGCGCCGAGAGACUCAGCGCGCCCUACGUGCCCCAGCUCUCCGGUGAGAGCAAUCCCGGGAAUUCCGGGAAUUCCGGGGAUUCUUUGGGAAUUUUUGGGAAUUCUUUGGGAAUUUUUGGGAAUUUUUUUGGAAUAUUUGGGAUUUUUUUUUAAUUUUUGGGGAAUUUUUGGGAUUUUUUGGGAAUUCUUUGAGAUUUGGGGGGAAUUUUUGGGAAUUCUUUGGGAAUUCUUUGGGAAUUUUUUUGGAAUUUUUGGGAUUUUUUUUGGGAAUUUUUGGGAUUUUUUUGAGAGUUUUUUUGGAAUUUUUGGGAUUUUUUGGGAAUUUUUUGAGAUUUGGGGGAAUUUUUGGGAAUUCUUUGGGAAUUUGGGAAUUCUUUGGGAAUUUUGGGGAAUUUUUUUGGAAUUUUUGGGAUUUUUUUUAAUUUUUGGGGAAUUUUUGGGAUU